GGAGGGUCCAAGCGUUAAUCGGAAUUACUGGGCGUAAAGCGCGCGUAGGCGGUAUGCUAAGUUGGGUGUGAAAUCCCCGGGCUUAACCUGGGAACUGCAUUCAAAACUUGCAUACUGGAGUACGGAAGAGGCGAGUAGAAUUCAUGGUGUAGCAGUGAAAUGCGUAGAUAUCAUGAGGAAUACCAAUGGCGAAGGCAACUCGCUGGUCCGAACUGACGCUGAGGUGCGAAAGCGUGGGUAGCAACAGGAUUAGAUACCUGUAGU
rnacentral:rRNA from 1 species